rnacentral:rRNA from 1 species
AGCGGUAACAGCUCAAAUUUGAAAUCUGGCUCCUCGGGGCCCGAAUUGUAAUUUGUAGAAGAUGCUUUGGGUCUGGGCCUGGCCUAAGUUCCUUGGAACAGGACGUCGUAGAGGGUGAGAAUCCCGUAUGCGGCUGGCGCCCGUGCCCGUGUAAAGCUCUUUCAACGAGUCGAGUUGUUUGGGAAUGCAGCUCUAAAUGGGUGGUAAAUUUCAUCUAAAGCUAAAUAUUGGCCAGAGACCGAUAGCGCACAAGUAGAGUGAUCGAAAGAUGAAAAGCACUUUGGAAAGAGAGUUAAACAGUACGUGAAAUUGUUGAAAGGGAAGCGCUGGCAACCAGACUUGGGCGCUGUUGAUCCGCUAGGGUUCUCUCUAGGGCACUCGGCAGUGCGCAGGCCAGCAUCGGUUUGGGGGGUUGGAGAAUGGCUGGUGGAAUGUGGCUGUCUUUGGGCAGUGUUAUAGCCACCGGUGGCAUGCAGCCUCCCCGGACCGAGGACCGCGCUUCGGCUAGGAUGCUGGCGUAAUGGUUGUCAGCGACCCGUCUUGAAACACGGACCAAGGAGUCUAACAUCUAUGCGAGUGUUUGGGUGUUAAACCCAUACGCGGAAUGAAAGUGAACGUAGGUGAGAACCCGCAAGGGUGCAUCAUCGACCGAUCCUGAUGUCUUCGGAUGGAUUUGAGUAAGAGCAUAGCUGUUGGGACCCGAAAGAUGGUGAACUAUGCCUGAAUAGGGUGAAGCCAGAGGAAACUCUGGUGGAGGCUCGCAGCGGUUCUGACGUGCAAAUCGAUCGUCAAAUUUGGGUAUAGGGGCGAAAGACU